CCGUGCUCAGGCGGGGAGUUAGCGGUGCCCUGUGACCCGCAAUCCGCUCUAGCGGGGCUGACAUCCCGGCUGAGGUCAUCGACCUCCGCCUCCCGUGACGGCGCCCGACGUUGAGAGUCGGGUCCCACGCAGCGACGGCCCGUGAACCCCGUCAGAUCCGGAAGGAAGCAGCGGUAAGCGGUCCUCCGUCGAGUGCCGUGGGACGACCUGGCUGGAGCCGGGCUCCGUGGCGAUGGCGGGUGGACCGAUGCCCGAUGCCGGGCGCACGG
rnacentral:SRP_RNA from 1 species